GAUGAACGCUGGCGGCGUGCCUAAUACAUGCAAGUCGAGCGAACAGACGAGGAGCUUGCUCCUCUGACGUUAGCGGCGGACGGGUGAGUAACACGUGGAUAACCUACCUAUAAGACUGGGAUAACUUCGGGAAACCGGAGCUAAUACCGGAGAAUAUAUUGAACCGCAUGGUUCAAUAGUGAAAGACGGUUUUGCUGUCACUUAUAGAUGGAUCCGCGCCGCAUUAGCUCGUUGGUAAGGUAACGGCUUACCAAGGGAACGAUGCGUAGACGAGCUGAGAGGGUGUCAGGCCACCCUGGAACUGAGCCAGGGUACAGGGGACUAAGGGAGGGAGCAGUAGGGAACAUUGCGCAAAUGGCGAAAACCUGACACAACAACGGCGAGCGAGAGAUAAAAGCGCCCGGUUCGUAAAAAUCUGUUAUUAGGUAAAAACAACUGUGUAAUGAAACAAACCCGUAUUGACGGUAACGUAUAAGAAAGCAACGGCUAACUACGUG
rnacentral:rRNA from 1 species